rnacentral:lncRNA from 1 species
AUGGAAGGCUGGCUGGGAGGAGGGUAGUGACAAACUGAUGUGUCUCCAUUUUUGAGAAACCAGCCUCUACCUCAGAGCAAAGCCUGUCCAAGGAAGGGGGUGUGACCCUUGUCCUUGGAAAAACCCACAGAGCACUCCUAGGCACAUACCCACCCUGCUGAGUUGUUUGUCUACAAAUAACAGGAGAAAUCUGUGGUGCCAGGUGUCCCUGACUCAGUCAGGCUAAGCGAGGACCCAUAGCAACUGCCUAGCAACCACCAAUCAGCAAGAGACAGGGAAAUACCUGGGACGCCCGAUGACCCCCCAGUAGUUUCUGGUGGUUGAUAACGUGUUGGGAAACCAUGUAGUUCAGCACGUACACCCCUCGUGGCCUAAACCAGUCAGUUCAAAGAAUCCCCCUCUGUACUAACCAAUCACCCCUACCCAACUUGUUCCCGCCAGUGAAUGUGCUCAUCAAUGUUAAGAGUUGUUGUUUGACUUUCCCGCGGUGUGGAAUGAUUUGCUGUGUGAUGUUGUGACCAUACAGUAUCCCCCCAAAACCUAUACAAUCUCACUGGACAAAGGACCAGGACUCACUCCCUGGGACGGCUGCAUCGGGAAUGGUUGUGAGUCCAGGCUCGAGCUUGCAAUAAAGACUCUUGUGUGAUUGCAUCGGAUUCGGCUCCUGGAGGUCUAUUGGGGUCCCACGAAUCUGGCAUAACAUCUGGGGGCUCAUCUGGGAUCCCCCAGACCCCAGGACCUCCUAACUGGAGCUAACACCGGUGAGUCUUGUUAUUCGUGUGUCUGUUGUCUGCUUUGUUCUCACCACGGCCCGUAGAAUCUGUAUUCUGGGCUGGCAACUGGCCUUGCCAUAGGGUCGCCAGCGGGGGCUCCUGGGAGAUGUCCCAGACCCCAAUCUGAGGGGGAUACUCCCUCAAUCUUUUCGUCUAAGGGAAUCUGUGUGUGUCUUUUUGUCUGUGUCUCUGUUAAGUGUGAGGGCAUUGUUUUACUUUGGACAGAUGCAGUGUCCCAAGUUCCGCUCUGCCUGCGAUGUGUGGAGGUAACUUUAGCUAAAUUUUAGCCUGAAAAUGUCCCUGGUAUGCUUCUCCUGUAAGGGACCCAAAGUCAAUAGAACCGCCAGCGUUUCUGACCUCACCUCUUACACCCCUUUGAGCUGUGUUUUAAAGAACUUUGAUAAGCUUUAGCCCCCUUUGUUAAAUGGGAUUAGGGAAGCAACGUUUUCUUUCUUCCCCUGGUUGGCUUGAGUGCACCCACUGCAGAGGGAAAUGCCUGCUGGGGGUCUAAGAACUGAGUAUCUCCCUUUUUCUUUUUCUCAAAACCCUGUCCUCAUUAUUAAAUUGGCAUUAAUUGGCUUCGAGGACAGGAACUGAACUUUCAGUUACAAAUUUUGAUACCCCAGGGGGGACUCUAGAGGAGCCCCGACUCCACUUUCUUGGGAAGCCUAAAAAUGGACUUUUUGAGAGCUGUCUACUGGAAAGUCAGGAGAUACGGAGCGUGCCUGGUGCCUGGGUCAGACGGAACCAGAGGAGCUGAUCCUGUAAGUAAAGGAGGGACUGAGGGACUCCCAGCAGCUGCUGAAGCCCUUUUGCUUCGGGGAACUCCCUCCUUCCUUCCCUGCGCUGUGAGGAUUGCUCCACCUCUGUCUGCUUAAAAAAAGGGGGGGGGGAGAGGGACACUGAAUGCAGUAAAGUCGCCACACCCAGACCCUUGAGAUUUUACACUUCUGGUUGCCCCUCUGUGAGAACAUCCGGUCCACUCACAGGGACAUCUGUGGUGCCACUGGUGUAGGAGUCAUAAUUAAAUGGGAGUUGGAAACUUGGGGAGAUUUUUCUCUCAUCUGCCCUGUUUUAAAGUUUCCUGUCUGUCGGCCAUAGUCUGGAGCUCCUUUCUGUCUGUCUGUCCUGUGUCUUUGUUUCUGGCCCUAUAAGACAUGGGCAAUGAUGUGUUGAUGUUAUAGACUGUUUCCUGGGGAUGAUUUUGGCUGAAUGUGUCUAAAAGAUAUUUUAUUGUGACAAUCUGGUAUCUGAAUGGGUUUUUGAAGCAUUGCACAAUCUUGCAGUUAAAAGUUGGGUUUAGGUAAUUGUUUAGUUUAUGAUUUCAGAUGAUUCAUGCCAGAGAACUUAAAUACUUAGGAUGGGAAACUAAAGAACUCUACUUCCAAGUUGGCAGGUAACUUCCCAAUCAUUCAGUUUUCUCACCAAUUUUUGAAUUGGGUAGCCUGGGAAGAUGUCACUGGGUGUACCAGCACAUUAUUAAUUUGGGCAAGGAUAGUAAAUUGCAGCAGUCCGGCUGCAGCAAAAUAACUGGGGGGUGACGAACAACUUGUGUACGUUGAUACAGCAGGAGUGGGAGCCGUUUAUUGUAGGACAGGAGCAGUAUUUAUACAUUCCACACAGCUUAUCUAAUUAGCAUAAACUAGAUACAUCAGUCAACCAAUAAGGAAUCUCCACACUUAUUGGCUCGCUGGCGUUACUUCACAAACCACUCCCUCUGGCAUUUUGCCAGGCACCAUCCAGACUUGUUUACGAACUCUUAACAUUCCCCUGGCAAAAUGCCAGGUGUUAUUUUGACUUGUUUACAGACUCUAACAGUAAAUCAUGGUAUGGUAUCUGUUCCCCUCAGUGUGUAGGAUUUAGGAAAGGAAUGUGUUGGAUUGGGACGUUGGUCUGGCUGAUUGGAAUGACAUUGAAUAGCAACAGUCUUGGAAUUUCUAAAGCUUAAUUUUGGAUAUAGAUGGUAGUUUGUGGUUCUCUUUUGGAUUUUUUUUCAGGUGAUUUAAUGUAACUUAAUAUUACUUUAGGAAGUUCAGAACAAAGGAAGUGGUUUAAUGAUCCUGAAGGGAUUUCCUCUGAUGGUAGCUUUUAUAUUAUCAAGUAAGAUCCUGUUUUCAGUUGUGUGUGAGCAAGUUUUUCUAGUGUAAGAAAUUUUUUCCUUUGGCAAAACAAGAUGCAAAUGUACGAAAUUUUGUGAAUUGUAUCUUAAACUUGCAUCAUAAUUUUCAACAUCCAAACCUGAAAAUUAUGACUAAAGGUUAAAAUGCCUUAGGCCUGAGGUUUCUGCUCAGAAUAGCAGUUUUCCCUGUUCCUUCCAGACCUCAGCCAGGACUUAAGUUGAAAUGCAAAUGGGAGAAGCCUGCAAGCUCAGUAGGAGACUGAUCUGAGGCUCAAGAAAAAAUAAAAAAAAGAGUAAAGGUGUCUUUUUACCCCAACUCAAACUAGACUAAACCAAGAAGUAAAUUGUAUGCUAUUUACUAAUUUCUGGCCGGUCAUUUUUUCUAGGACUCUUGCUUUUUCUUAGAUUCUGUAUUUUUUUUGAACUCAUGAUUUUGAUCCUAUAGACCUAGGUUCAUGUUUUUCUGAUCAGUUAUAUUUUUGAUCAACUGUGGAGAUUUUAAACAUUGCAAUGGAAAUUUCACCCAAGUAAAGCUACAAGGCCUUUACUAUUGAGUUAUGUGUGCACACUUGUGUUAUGUGUUGUAUGUCUGUAUGUGCAUAUGCCCAUAUAUCAUGCACAUGAUACGAAAAUUGGCAGAUAUAUGAGGAACGCUCAUAAAAAUUUUUAAAAAGGAUCCAAAUAUCUUUGAUUCACGUGAUUUAAAUGGUUCAAUUUAAAUUGGGUAAACAGAUGAAAAUAAUGACGUCUUUAAAAUUAAGCUUACAAGUUUUUCUAGGUGUUCAAAAAAAAACUAAUAAAAUGUUGAUGUCUAUGAAAUGUCUGAUAUGCUUUGGUUCUAGGACUUUUCUUCAACAAGGAAGAAAUGGCUAACACUGUUCAAUACACUUUUGAUAAAAUAAGUAAAGUAGAUUUGACAUGGGAUUACUCAUUUAUUAGUACUUUUGUUGGAUAUCUGAUUGAUUUACAAGGUUAAAAUGCUAAAUGUUAAAUAAUCCAUUGAGCACUCUUAACUCCUUGAAUUGCAUUGGGUAACAUUAUUGAUGUUUUCGUAAGUUAGUAAAUGAAGAAAAAAGGUAUAAAGUUGCUUUGUCAUCCCUGAUACUUAGAUGUUGUGUUUUCAUGAAAUGGUAAACAGAUGUGAUUCUGUAUACAAGGGUUUAUAGAAGAUUUCUUUAUACAAAGGCUCAAAAGUUUAAACUGUUCCAAUUAAGAGUAUUAUAAGUAAAAUCAAGUAUUUCUUUUUAUUAAAAUGAAAUAAUCUGCCUAAAUUCAGAAAUUUACGAGGAUUGUUUCAAAAUGUGAACAGAAAAGGAGGUUAACAGAUGGAAAGGAGAAAUUAGAAGGUUCUAGGUAUGGAAAUCAUACUUAAUAGAAGAGAAAAAAUUUCCUGGAUAAGAAAGUCUUUAUGUGAUGAAGUAAAUAAGAGAGUUUAAGUAAGUUAUAAAGAAGGUCUGUGUAAGUUUGUCUUUACAAUCAGUCAUAUGUUAAAAGGACAAAGAUUCCUGAAAACAUUAGUUUACCAUAACAUUGUUAUUUAUUAAGUUUUGUUUCUUGUUCCUAGAGCAAGUAAUCUUAAAGGAAUUAAACAGCUGGUUAAACAAGAACUGUUAUUUUAGAGAAUUGUGCUAUGUUAUGUCUUUAAGUUAAACUUGGUUAAUAUAAAAACAUCAAUGUAAUUGUGGUGCUAUUAAUGUGUUCAUAUCUUCCAGGUGUACAAGUCUGUAAGGCAGAAACUUUAAAAAGGCAUUAUAUCAAGCUGGUGAUCUAAAGUUGUAUGGAAAUUUUAGGCUUAAAAGAAAAACAUGUUGGAGAUUUAUUUAUAUCAUUUGAUGCUCUGUAACUGGACCUAUUAUAAAAAAGAUAUGUAAAGUUCCAUGUUACUUUUUACACUAAGGUAUAAUUUAAAUGUAUUUUUAAGUUAACAAGAGCCUAAUCUGUGUAAAGGUUAAUAUUGUAAAACACAAAAGUACUUUGCUACUUUUCUACAAAAGGUUAAAAUCUUUCAGCCUUUCUUUAAUUCAUGUUUUAGAUGUGAUAUCAUAUUGUGUUAGCUAAUGUUCAUGUGAACUUGAACAACAAUUUAUGUAAGCUUUCUAAAAUGAUGUUUAAAAAGCAAAGAUCAGCUUCAGAAUUACAGC